rnacentral:lncRNA from 12 species
GGAUUUUUGGGUAGAAAAAAAUGUGUAUAACAAUAAUUCUAUUGUCUGUUAUAUACAAUAUGUUAAAUACCUAUAUUUAAAUUUAUUUUUCUUAUUAAUGGAGAUCAGAAGAUCUAAGACACAUAGUGUGGAAAGAUGAAAUAUUGUAGUAUCAUGCAGUAUUUUCAAGUACAGAUUAUUAGGAUUAUUAGCAAAUGAUAUCACUAGCAAGUCAGCCUACACUGAUAUGCAACAAUGAAGAAAGUUUCUCUACUGUGUAAUUAAACACCAUGUCUGAUUAUAAGGUAGAGGGAAAUAUCAAAUAACAAAGGAUUCUAUAAGCAGUGACAGCUGUCAGAGAUAACAUGCCUAUUCUCUACCCACUCCCGUGCUCAUUGCAGACUUAACUAGUUGAUUGCAACAAUACUCUUUAUUGAGAGUGGACAUGAUUUGGAGUCCUUUUCAGACAGUUCCUGACUAUGCACUGGAGUUGAUCCUUCAAAGAAAGCCUACCCACUAUCUAUGGCAUAGUCAGAAUGAACUCAACUGUGAAAUGAUAUCAGAACCCCUGGUGCAGGAGAGUCUCUGUUUCCUGAAGUUUGCUUGGCUGACUUCAUUGGGCCAUUAUCCCUGAAGUGUUUGCAGAGGCCAACAGCUCUUAAGGACAUUAGAUGAUCAUCUUUUCGAUCAAGUCUGUGGUCAUCCUACAGUUUUCCAGGAACCUUCUUCUGAAGUAAGUGGAUAGAUGUUCCCUGCUUGACAAUGACUCAAUGACAUUGUGUCUGUUACUUAGAAAUUUCUUUUCCCACAUCACCUGAAGCUGAAUUGGGCAAGACCAUCUACCAUGCAUCAUCAGAGCUUUACUGACCUCUGCCUCCUGGGGAUAGUACAUCUUGGGUCACCUACAGGGUCUUCAUUGUGGCUGAAUUUCUUGUUGAAAAAUUUGUCUCCUCAGCAUGUAAAAAAAGACAAGUACUCACUGAAGCUGCCUCAAUAAUUAUUCUUUUGAGGUAAAGGAAUAGUUCUCCAGUUUGCAGGUCAACAAAGAUCUUUAAUGAAGUGGGAGAUAAUGACUGGAGAACAAAUAACCUUUUGUGCCUAUUUCAGGGAGUCAAAUUGCCCCUUUUCUAAUGGCUAAGUUAGCAUAAGACAGCCUGUGUUUCCCAGUCCAGUUCCACUGACCACCUGAUGACUAAUAAAGAUUUUUCCAUGAAAUUAGUCCUAGCUUUC